rnacentral:rRNA from 1 species
UCCCAACUAUCCCUAUUAAUCAUUACGGUGAUCCUAGAAACCAACAAAAUAGAACCAAGCCGUCCUAUUUUAUUAUUCCAUGCUAAUCUAUUCAAGCACUAGCCUGCUUUAAGCACUCUAAUUUUUUCAAGGUAAUAGAUCUGCUUCCCCAACGCACUAAAUUAAUAGCAUGCUGGUUUAAUUUCCAAGGAAAGAAUCCAUCAAAUCAGUACGAACAGUGAAGCCCGACCAAUUGACAAAUCCCGAAAUUC